rnacentral:rRNA from 1 species
CAGCCGCCGCGGUAACACCGGCGGCUCGAGUGGUAACCGCUAUUAUUGGGUCUAAAGGGUCUGUAGCCUGCAGGUUAAGUCUCUUGGUAAAUCCGGCAGCUCAACUGUCGGGGUUCAGGGGAUACUGGUCUGCUCGGGACCGGGAGAGGUGAGAGGUACCUCAGGGGUAGGGGUGAAAUCUUGUAAUCCUUGAGGGACCACCAGUGGCGAAGGCGUCUCACCAGAACGGGUCCGACGGCAAGGGACGAAAGCUAGGGGCACGAACCGGAUUAGAUACCCGGGUAGUCCUAGCCGUAAACGAUACUCGCUAGGUGUCGGCCACGGUGCGACCGUGGUCGGUGCCGUAGGGAAGCCGUGAAGCGAGCCACCUGGGAAGUACGGCCGCAAGGCUGAAACUUAAAGGAAUUGGCGGGGGAGCACUACAACGGGUGGAGCCUGCGGUUUAAUUGGAUUCAACGCCGGAAAUCUCACCGGGGGCGACAGCAUGAUGAAGGCCAGGCUGAAGACCUUGCCUGAUCCGCUGAGAGGUGGUGCAUGGCC